AGCAGCGUGGCGCAGCGGAAGCGUUCUGGGCCCAUAACCCAGAGGUCCCUGGAUCGAAACCAGGCGCUGAUA
rnacentral:tRNA from 1 species